CCUACGGGAGGCAGCAGUGAGGAAUAUUGGUCAAUGGGCGGGAGCCUGAACCAGCCAAGCCGCGUGAAGGAAGAAGGCGCCAGGCGUCGUAAACUUCUUUUGUCGGGGAAUAAAGGGCGCCACGUGUGGCGUUGUGAGUGUACCCGAAGAAAAAGCAUCGGCUAACUCCGUGCCAGCAGCCGCGGUAAUACGGAGGAUGCGAGCGUUAUCCGGAUUUAUUGGGUUUAAAGGGUGCGUAGGCGGUCCGGAAAGUCAGCGGUGAAAGUCCGGGGCUCAACCCUCGAGGGGCCGUGGAAACUGGCGGACUAGAGCAGGCUAGAGGUAGGCGGAAGGCGUGGUGUAGCGGUGAAAUGCAUAGAUAGCACGCAGAACCCCGAGUGCGAAGGCAGCCUACCGGGCCCUGACUGACGCUGAGGCACGAAAGCGUGGGGAUCGAACAGGAUUAGAUACCCCGGUAGUC
rnacentral:rRNA from 1 species